AGGCCAUGUUGAGGACAACUGGCUCAUAAUUUUUUAAACCUCUCCCAAUAUUCAUAGAGAGUUUUGUCAUUCCUCUAUUGGAUUCCCAAAAUGUUUCGCCUAAGUUC